ensembl:lncRNA
AUGACAUCCUUUGGAGAGACUGUUGAUGUAGUUAAGGCAGUGGUGGCAUCACUUGGAGAGACUGUUGAUGUAGUUAAGGCAGUGGUGGCAUCACUUGGAGAGACUGUUGAUGUAGUUGAGUCAGUGGUGGUAUCACUUGGAGAGACUGUUGAUGUAGUUGAGGCAGUGGAGUCAUCACUUGGAGAGACUGUUGAUGCAGUUGAGUCAGUGGUGGCAUCCCUUGGAGAGACUUUUGAUCUAGUUAUGGCAGUGGUGGCAUCACUUGAGGAGACUGUUGAUGUAAUUGAUGCAGUGGUGGCAUCACUUGGCGAGACUGUUGAUGUAGUUGAGUCAGUGGUGGCAUCCUUUGGAGAGACUGUUGAUGUAGUUAAGGCAGUGGUGGCAUCACUUGGAGAGACUGUUGAUGUAAUUGAGGCAGUGGUGGCAUCACUUGGAGAGACUGUUGAUGUAAUUGAGGCAGUGGUGGCAUCACUUGGUGAGACUGUUGAUGCUGUUGCAGUAGUGGUGGCAUCCACUGAUAUGCCUGUUGAUGGAGCAGAAGGAAUUAAGACAUAAUUAAUACGAUUCUGAUCUACCAAACUAGGAUAGCAGAUUCACCAGUCAAUGCAAAUUAACUGGAUGCACUUUCUAAUUCAUCACAUUGUUUUAACAUGUCCUUUUCAUCUGGUACUUGGUGUUGCAUAAAGUCUCCAACUAAUUUAUAUUUGUUUUCUUAGCGACAACAUUUACUUACUCAUGCAGUCAGUACCAGGCACCACUGGGUUUAUGUCAUAGAAUCCCGCCUGACAGUUACAUGAAUAUGAAGGUCCCUCUGUGACACAACUGGCAUUUUGUGAGCAUGCGUAAUUUCCUCUUUGACAAAGAUCUGCAUCUGUAAUUAUGUAAAACACUAAGUUAAAAACAAUGUAAACUUAACAAUAUGAUAACUAUCUAUUGUAUGUAUACACUGUGUUUUAUGCACAUACAUAUAUCAUCCAAAAUGUAAAUUCUGUUGGUAUUUUGAUCAAUACAUCAGUUAAUGCAAUUCAGAAACCUUUAACAAAGGUGCUAUUGUGAUCUACUCCGAGUGCAGAUCUGUUUAAGGCAUUGAUGACACUGAUCUGCACGGCAGAGGUUGAUAAGUUGACCACCGAAGCAACGAAUAGAUCAAAGUCAACAAUCAGACUUCCAUUGCGAACAGCUCUCACAACCACCAUCAUUUGUUGAGUCUUGAUAAGGUCUUGGUACUGUUCUGGGAGAUUAUUUACAACCUUUAAAGAAGAAAUAUAUAUUAUACACUUUAUAUUACAUACCUUGAAGUUAAUAGCGGGGAAAAUAAAUGCUUUGUGAAUAUUUACCUGCAUGGUGAAGUUGGUCACAAAGUCUUUAUAAAGGCUGCUGGAUUGAUUUAAAUAAUCAGACAAAAACUCUCCGCCUGGAAUUCGAGUGGAACAAUCAUAGACUUUUCCAGCUUUGGGAGAGAAAUGAUAAAGAAAGUGUUAAAUAAAUUUGAUUCUUUACAAAUAAAAAUACUUCUUUGAUCUGGUAUAUAUUUUUUCAAAUGUAUUAAUUAAAUAUUUGACAUACUUGUGACUACGUCUAUUGAAAUGUUUUUCUUGACGCCACAGGAUAAGUACUCAAUAGUGAGAGUGUACAUGGUUGCUGGAGUAAGGUCUAAGAAAACAGCUUUGGUGACUGAGGUCUCGUUCUGGAUUGAGGAUGAAUAAGACACCAACUUCACUGUGUACUGAAUUUCUUGAUUCAGGUUGAUGCCCAUCCAACUUGCAGUGAUAACCUGACUAGUAACAUUUUCCAGCCUAAUGGCAUUUACAACAGCACCUGAUACUGAAAACAAAUGACAACAAACACACUUUUUUAGAUUGAACAA